UUAGCGGAUGACCUGUGGCUGGGGGUGAAAGGCCAAUCAAACCGGGAGAUAGCUGGUUCUCCCCGAAAGCUAUUUAGGUAGCGCCUCGUGAAUUCAUCUCCGGGGGUAGAGCACUGUUUCGGCUAGGGGGCCAUCCCGGCUUACCAACCCGAUGCAAACUGCGAAUACCGGAGAAUGUUAUCACGGGAGACACACGGCGGGUGCUAACGUCCGUCGUGAAGAGGGAAACAACCCAGACCGCCAGCUAAGGUCCCAAAGUCAUGGUUAAGUGGGAAACGAUGUGGGAAGGCCCAGACAGCCAGGAUGUUGGCUUAGAAGCAGCCAUCAUUUAAAGAAAGCGUAAUAGCUCACUGGUCGAGUCGGCCUGCGCGGAAGAUGUAACGGGGCUAAACCAUGCACCGAAGCUGCGGCAGCGACACUGUGUGUUGUUGGGUAGGGGAGCGUUCUGUAAGCCUGCGAAGGUGUCCCGUGAGGGAUGCUGGAGGUAUCAGAAGUGCGAAUGCUGACAUAAGUAACGAUAAAGCGGGUGAAAAGCCCGCUCGCCGGAAGACCAAGGGUUCCUGUCCAACGUUAAUCGGGGCAGGGUGAGUCGACCCCUAAGGCGAGGCCGAAAGGCGUAGUCGAUGGGAAACGGGUUAAUAUUCCCGUACUUGGUGUUACUGCGAAGGGGGGACGGAGAAGGCUAUGUUGGCCGGGCGACGGUUGUCCCGGUUUAAGCGUGUAGGUGUGUGUUCCAGGUAAAUCCGGUUCACUUUAACACUGAGGCGUGACGACGAGGCACUACGGUGCUGAAGCAACAAAUGCCCUGCUUCCAGGAAAAGCCUCUAAGCAUCAGGUAACAUCAAAUCGUACCCCAAACCGACACAGGUGGUCAGGUAGAGAAUACCAAGGCGCUUGAGAGAACUCGGGUGAAGGAACUAGGCAAAAUGGUGCCGUAACUUCGGGAGAAGGCACGCUGACACGUAGGUGAAGUGAUUUACUCAUGGAGCUGAAGUCAGUCGAAGAUACCAGCUGGCUGCAACUGUUUAUUAAAAACACAGCACUGUGCAAACACGAAAGUGGACGUAUACGGUGUGACGCCUGCCCGGUGCCGGAAGGUUAAUUGAUGGGGUCAGCGCAAGCGAAGCUCCUGAUCGAAGCCCCGGUAAACGGCGGCCGUAACUAUAACGGUCCUAAGGUAGCGAAAUUCCUUGUCGGGUAAGUUCCGACCUGCACGAAUGGCGUAAUGAUGGCCAGGCUGUCUCCACCCGAGACUCAGUGAAAUUGAACUCGCUGUGAAGAUGCAGUGUACCCGCGGCAAGACGGAAAGACCCCGUGAACCUUUACUAUAGCUUGACACUGAACAUUGAGCCUUGAUGUGUAGGAUAGGUGGGAGGCUUUGAAGUGUGGACGCCAGUCUGCAUGGAGCCGACCUUGAAAUACCACCCUUUAAUGUUUGAUGUUCUAACGUGGACCCGUAAUCCGGGUUGCGGACAGUGUCUGGUGGGUAGUUUGACUGGGGCGGUCUCCUCCUAAAGAGUAACGGAGGAGCACGAAGGUUGGCUAAUCCUGGUCGGACAUCAGGAGGUUAGUGCAAUGGCAUAAGCCAGCUUGACUGCGAGCGUGACGGCGCGAGCAGGUGCGAAAGCAGGUCAUAGUGAUCCGGUGGUUCUGAAUGGAAGGGCCAUCGCUCAACGGAUAAAAGGUACUCCGGGGAUAACAGGCUGAUACCGCCCAAGAGUUCAUAUCGACGGCGGUGUUUGGCACCUCGAUGUCGGCUCAUCACAUCCUGGGGCUGAAGUAGGUCCCAAGGGUAUGGCUGUUCGCCAUUUAAAGUGGUACGCGAGCUGGGUUUAGAACGUCGUGAGACAGUUCGGUCCCUAUCUGCCGUGGGCGCUGGAGAACUGAGGGGGGCUGCUCCUAGUACGAGAGGACCGGAGUGGACGCAUCACUGGUGUUCGGGUUGUCAUGCCAAUGGCACUGCCCGGUAGCUAAAUGCGGAAGAGAUAAGUGCUGAAAGCAUCUAAGCACGAAACUUGCCCCGAGAUGAGUUCUCCCUGAGACUUAGAGUCUCCUGAAGGAACGUUGAAGACGACGACGUUGAUAGGCCGGGUGUGUAAGCGCAGCGAUGCGUUGAGCUAACCGGUACUAAUGAACCGUGAGG
rnacentral:rRNA from 1 species